rnacentral:rRNA from 1 species
AGACGGAGGGGGCUAGCGUUGUUCGGAAUUACUGGGCGUAAAGCGCGCGUAGGCGGUAGUCUAAGUUGGGCGUGAAAGCCCGGGGCUUAACCCCGGAACUGCGUUCAAAACUGGACAACUAGAGUCCGGGAGAGGGUAGUGGAAUUCCCAGUGUAGAGGUGAAAUUCGUAGAUAUUGGGAAGAACACCAGUGGCGAAGGCGGCUGCCUGGCCCGGUACUGACGCUGAGGUGCGAAAGCGUGGGGAGCAAACAGGAUUAGAUACCCCGGUAGUCC